rnacentral:lncRNA from 1 species
CUCGUGACCUGCAUCAUCUUCAGUUCCAGGGUCUCCCUCCACUGCUGUAGUAACCCGGGUCCGGGGCCUCGGUGGUGCUCCUGAUGCCCCUCACCCACCCCUGAAGAUCCCAGGUGGGCGAGGGAAUAGUCAGAGGGAUCACAAUCUUUCAGCUAACUUAUUCUACUCCGAUGAUCGGCUGAAUGUAACAGAGGAACUAACGUCCAACGACAAGACGAGGAUUCUCAACGUCCAGUCCAGGCUCACAGACGCCAAACGCAUUAACUGGCGAACAGUGCUGAGUGGCGGCAGCCUCUACAUCGAGAUCCCGGGCGGCGCGCUGCCCGAGGGGAGCAAGGACAGCUUUGCAGUUCUCCUGGAGUUCGCUGAGGAGCAGCUGCGAGCCGACCAUGUCUUCAUUUGCUUCCACAAGAACCGCGAGGACAGAGCCGCCUUGCUCCGAACCUUCAGCUUUUUGGGCUUUGAGAUUGUGAGACCGGGGCAUCCCCUUGUCCCCAAGAGACCCGACGCUUGCUUCAUGGCCUACACGUUCGAGAGAGAGUCUUCGGGAGAGGAGGAGGAGUAGGGCCGCCUCGGGGCUGGGCAUCCGGCCCCUGGGGCCACCCCUUGUCAGCCGGGUGGGUAGGAACCGUAGACUCGCUCAUCUCGCCUGGGUUUGUCCGCAUGUUGUAAUCGUGCAAAUAAACGCUCACUCCGAAUUAGCGGUGUAUUUCUUGAAGUUUAAUA